GAUUAACGCUGGCGGCGUGCAUAACACAUUCAAGUCGAACGGUGAAGGGACUUCGGUCCCGGAUCAGUGGCGGACGGGUGAGUAACGCGUGAGCAACCUGCCCUUGUGUGGGGGAUAACGUUUGGAAACGGACGCUAAUACCGCAUAACCAGGUAGUACCGCAUGGUACAGCCUGCAAAGAUUUAUUGCACAAGGAUGGGCUCGCGUCUGAUUAGGUAGUUGGUGGGGUAACGGCCUACCAAGCCGACGAUCAGUAGCCGGACUGAGAGGUUGAACGGCCACAUUGGAACUGAGAUACGGUCCAGACUCCUACGGGAGGCAGCAGUGGGGAAUAUUGGGCAAUGGGGGAAACCCUGAUGCAGCGACGCCGCGUGAGUGAAGAAGUAUUUCGGUAUGUAAAGCUCUAUCAGCAGGGAAGAAAAUGACGGUACCUGACUAAGAAGCCCCGGCUAACUACGUG
rnacentral:rRNA from 1 species